GAAGGAAGAGAGCGGGAAGGAGGAAGGAAGAGAAGGAAGAAGGUUCCAGAAGAGAGAGAGGGGAGUCGGAGCAGAGAGGAGCGAGAAGGGAGAGAGAAGAGAGUCGCGGACAACGAACGGUGCGAUCGGCAAGAGGAAGAAAAGUGGAAAUGGAAGGUACGGUAAAAACUUUGGUUGUGUAGGUAUUGGGUGAGUUGUGAUGCUAUUUGCAGGUUGCCGAGGCCAGGGAGUCCGUAAGUAGCUGGGCGGAGCUGAGAGGUGGAGUGUAGGACGGAAUGGC
rnacentral:lncRNA from 1 species